rnacentral:tRNA from 1 species
GGCGGGGUCUUCUAAAGGCAGGAUACAAGGCUCUCAACCUUGAGAUGGUGGUUCGAUUCCAUCCCCCGCAACCA